UUGCGGCCAAAUCGCGUUGAAACAACGGUUCUCGUCUGAUCAGCGAGGUUAAGUAUUAUUGAGCCUGAUCGGUACUUAGUUGGUUGUCCGCUGGAGAAUACCAGGUGCUGA